UACAGAGGUCUCAAGCGUUGUUCGGAUUCCUUGGGCGUAAAGGGUGCGUAGGUGGCGUGGUAAGUCGGGUGUGAAAUUUCGGAGCUUAACUCCGAAACUGCAUUCGAUACUGCCGUGCUUGAGGACUGGAGAGGAGACUGGAAUUCAUGGUGUAGCAGUGAAAUGCGUAGAGAUCAUGAGGAAGACCAGUGGCGAAGGCGGGUCUCUGGACAGUUCCUGACACUGAGACACGAAGGCCAGGGGAGCAAACGGG
rnacentral:rRNA from 1 species